rnacentral:rRNA from 1 species
GACGAACGCUGGCGGCGUGCUUAACACAUGCCAGUUGAACGGAAAGGCCCUGCUUUUGUGGGGUGCUCGAGUGGCCAACGGGUGAGUAACACGUGAGUAACCUGCCCUUGACUUUGGGAUAACUUCAGGAAACUGGGGCUAAUACCGGAUAGGAGCUCCUGCUGCAUGGUGGGGGUUGGAAAGUUUCGGCGGUUGGGGAUGGACUCGCGGCUUAUCAGCUUGUUGGUGGGGUAGUGGCUUACCAAGGCUUUGACGGGUAGCCGGCCUGAGAGGGUGACCGGCCACAUUGGGACUGAGAUACGGCCCAGACUCCUACGGGAGGCAGCAGUGGGGAAUAUUGCACAAUGGGCGGAAGCCUGAUGAAGCAACGCCGCGUGCGGGAUGACGGCCUUCGGGUUGUAAACCGCUUUCGCCUGUGACGAAGCGUGAGUGACGGUAAUGGGUAAAGAAGCACCGGCUAACUACGUG